rnacentral:rRNA from 1 species
AGAAUUCAGUGAAUCAUCGAAUCUUUGAACGCACAUUGCGCCCGCCAGUAUUCUGGCGGGCAUGCCUGUUCGAGCGUCAUUACAACCCUCAGGCCCCCGGGCCUGGCGUUGGGGAUCGGCGGAAGCCCCCUG